AAUUACUUUUGCUCAAAUUCUGUUUUUAAGUAUCUAGUCAGAUCUCCCUAAUUAGCCAAAACAAUGGAUCGCUUUUAAAAAUCACUUCAUUAGAGCCGGCCCCACGGCUCACUAGGCUAAUCCUCCACCGUGCAGCACCGGCACACCAGGUUCUAGUCCCGGUCGGGGCGCUGGAUUCUGUCCCGGUUGCCCCCCUUCCAGGCCAGCUCUCUGCUGUGGCCAGGGAGUGCAGUGGAGGAUGGCCCAAGUGCUUGGGCCCUGCACCCCAUGGGAGACCAGGAGAAGCACCUGGCUCCUGCCAUUGGAUCAGCACGGUGCGCCGGCCGCGGCGGCCAUUGGAGGGUGAACCAACGGCAAAAGGAAGACCUUUCUCUCUGUCUCUCUCUCUCACUGUCCACUCUGCCUGUCAAAAAAAAAAAAAAUCACUUCAUUAGGUGCUAAAAUAUAUUUUGCAAUUCUACAAGAUAAAAUAAUUAAACUGUGAUAUGACAGAAAUAUCCAGAAAAGCAUGGAAAUGCCUUAUUUCCCCAUUUUCGCAUAUUCCCUUAUGUCCUUCUCCUGAUGGAACAAAGCAUAAUGUUUCUGCUUGGAACAAAAUGCCUGACAAAAAUUGAACUUUCCUUUUUCUUUAACCUUCCCAACCCUGCAAAAAUUGAGCUAAGUAUAAAUAUUAGCCGAUGUGUAGCUUUUGAAAAUGAACUUCAUGGCGGUAUACUUUAUCUCAAUAAAAUGCACCCACUUUCAGUGUGCAGUUCAGUGGGUUUUGACGAGUGUUAUGCCCAUAAAACCAUCACCUCAAUCAAGAUAGCGCACACUUCCGCCUCCUGUGGGGAGCAACCCGGACUAGACUAAGUUACUGGAAUUAAGACUUACUCUAUGCAUCUGCUCUCCCACAAUAUGGCGCUGGGAGAGAAGAAAACAGCUUCUGCACAGCUGCCUCCAGUUCAACCAAUAAACUGUAGGACUUGCUCCUGAUUGGAGGAGAGCAGCGUACUCGGCGUGUGGGCAGCCGAGUUAGGAUUGGCAGAGGAGGACUAUAAAGGAGGAGAGAGACGGCAUGCACCAGGAACAUCUAAGGGGAACAUCUAGCUGAAGGAACACCUGUGCAGCCCCCGAGCCGAGCCGGCCGGCGGUGUGCCGCUCCCCUGCGGAAGUGGGGAAUGUGGCCAGGGGGAACCGCCCUUCCACGGAGGUGGAAGGGACGGUAGCCAACCCGGGAAGAACCAGCAGCAAACCCGGGGAGGGCCGAGCAGACGAAAGAACAGCGCAGGGUCCUGUGUCGUUCCUCCACGAAGAGGGGGAGCGACAGCCUCCCCAGGGCUCUCAUGCCCCAUCCCAGCCCCCGGCCCAGGCAACCCCUGAUUUCCCUUGUCACGUUCACUUCGUGUGCCCACUGUGAAACUCCCUUCCAGCAGAUUCACACCACGUCUACUCUUCUGUGUCUGGCUUCUUUGCCGUAGUGUUUUCAGAUUCGCCCGUGUUGAUGCUGAUGUCAUGAGUUUGGAUCUUUCUAUUGCAAAACGGUGUUUUUCCCUUCAAGACAGUGUGUCCUUGUUUCCCCCCAAGAUCUCCUGGAAUUGGAUCCUGCUCAGCCGAGGCCCAAUAGGAACACUCACCUCCAUUUUGGUCAGAGAAGUAACUGCAUGUUUACUUCCAAAGGCAGCAACCUCCAGUGUCCUUGCCUUCCAUUGCUUCCGGCUUAUAAUGCCGGGUAGCAGCCACCAGAACAAAAGUGAGCCAGCCAAGGGAGGGUUAAGUGACAGAAUAUUCAAGGAAUGUGAAGUCUAGAUUCCAUGGUCAGGCAGCUGAGCGUGGACAACCUGGCCUCGCACAGGUGCACGUCUAGUUUUGAAUCCCAUCUGCGAGCGACAGCCUGUCCUCCGACAGCACUCUUACCUCCCCCCAUCUGUUCUGUAUACGAACGUUGUGAUCCCAGGAAUAACCCUUUGGCUCAAAAGAAGACAACUCUGUUUGGCGUAGACCCAACCUAGCUUCUAGACUUCUCUUUCUCCCCGAAAUAGAGCCCUCACUCUCCUGCGCAUUUCUCUCACUGAAUAAAAUCCUUAAAACUUAAAAAAAAAAAAAAAAGAUAAA